UUGAUCAAGAAUUAAUCUAGAAUUAAUUAAGUGAUCAAAAGAAGACUAAUUAAAUAUAUGGUUUGAUUGUGUAAAUCAUCCAUACUUGUAUAGUGGGCUAAUGCUCCAUGGAUUAUCAAGUUGGGCUAAAACCCAUAUGGAUGCUCCAUGGUGUAUUUGAACCCAUGGAUCCAAGGAAAUGGAAAGCCAUGACAAUUAGGGUUUACCCUAAUUGUAACAACUAUAUAAGAUCAUAUUCUUUGGGAAAAUCGGCACUUAUGUGUGAGGAAGAGAAGGGCUAGUCGAUUUUCAAGUGUUCUACGUUUCUCUCAAGGUUAUUCCAAAAGCAAUUGAUGUUGUGUGAGCCAUUUGAGGUGUCACACUUGGGGCACUAGGCACUCAAGCUUCUUGAGAACAUUCUACAUCAAAGAGGUAUGUAUUCUAUCUUGUUAUAUUCAUUGUUUUGUAUGCUAGAUUAGGAUAAUACCUUGGAUGUUCAUAUUUGCAUGUAUAAUAGAGAAAACAUAGAUCCAAGGUAUUUAGGGUUGCAUGUACACUUAAGAGUCUUAGAAUGCUCAAAACCCAACAGUGGUAUCAAAUCCUAUGCUUGUUUUCUUGUUAUACUUGCAAAAGUAGCUGAAAAAUCGAGUUUUGAUGCUGUCUUCCCAGCAGACUCACCGAGUCCAAGGAAAAAUGCAUCCAAGUCGCCAGGUUGGUUCGUGCACUCGACGAGUUGGACCCCCAGACAGCAUAUAUUCGACUUUUUUGGCUGGAAUUGGACUAGGAACAUUACCCUAAGAUGUUUUGAACUUAUAAACUUGUUUUUUGAUGUGGUAAUGUUCAUGCUAAUCCAAUUUCUAAUAUAAUUGUCAUAAGUAAAAGAUUUGUAUUAGUUUGUAUGUUCAUGCUAAUUUCUUGAAGAUUGAUGAUUUGAAUUAUCUUGUUCUUAGAUUAAUAGAAAAGUUGUGUGAAAUAGUUGAUUUCAAUCCAUUUUAAUCUAAGAGUUGAUUCCAAAGUGUGUUUUUGUAACUUGUCCUCAAGUUAUAUGAAAAGUCACAUUUAAGAAUCAUAAAACUCAUAAAAGUUGGCAAAGGUUACAAAAUGAAGAGUCUAGUUCUAAUUAAAUGGUUUUAUGACUCCAUAACUUGUCCUCAAGUUAUGGAGGACCAAGAGUCUCUUCAUUUAAUAAAAUAAAAUAAAAAAAAAAAAAGUGUAACCUUAAUUAAUUCCAUAAGUUAUAAAAUAAAGAAAAGUUAAUUCUUUUAUUAGUUUAAAGUCUUCCAUAACUUGUCCUCAAGUUAUGGAACUUGAAGAGUUUUUGGAUUAAAACUACUUUAAACACAUAAGUUAUGGAAUUAAUUAGUUUUGAAUAGUUUCAAAACUUGCCCUCAAGUUUUGGAAUUUGUAAAGUUUUCACUUAUGAAUACUUUAAUUCCAAGUUAGCCCUUAGAAUUUUAAAAGUUAAAAUUCAACCCUUAUACUUUAUAAUAUUAUAAGUUAAUAAUAUAUAUAUGUAUAAGAGUAAAGUCAGUCUUACCGCUAGUACGCCUCAUUCACGAAGCCGGUCUAUAAGGUGGGUAUAAGGUUGUUGCCUAUAAAAUGGCAACUUAAUGGGUGUCCACUCUCACCCACCGCUUGCUUGACUGGUGGAGGGUCGUUAGCCGAACGGGUUUGACAGGACUAGAAUUCUCCCUUCAUUAAAAGUAUUAAUGAUAAUACUAAGUAACUAAACUCUUAAUAAUACCCAAUCUUAGUUACUUAGGAAAAAUGUGAAUAAGGUGCUAAUCCAUGAAAUUACACUUUACACUUUGUCUAAGUCGUUAGUGGAGCGUGUGUGGUUAACCGGCACACUAACUUGGACUUAACAAGGUAGGUAAAGGGUGACUUAAUAUUUAUCAUAGUAUCGAUGGAGCGUGUGUGGUUAACCGGCACAUCGAUUGAGGGGUAAUUUAUUAAGGGUACCAAGUGAUUUGCAUGGUUACUUCACACCUUGUUUUGUGAUCCUCGGCAUCCCAGUCACAAAACCUGAAGGGCACACUCGAGAUUGAAACAUGCCUUUGAACAGUUCAAUGAAUCUCAAAGAUCUAGGAGUUUCAAAACCAAUUAAAACCUAAUAAUACAUUUCGUUUAUCUUGGUGGAAAUUGGUGAAUCGUCAUUCACCUACCUUCAAAUAUUUUAUAGCUUGGAUUACGGCAUCCCUCUUCCGAGUUAUAAAAUACUUUGUAGGGUCCUAGCCUUAAUAUUUCAUAUUGGGUGUUGUAUUAAGGACUUUAAAUCAACUAUCUUGAAUAUAUCCCAAAAGAUGUCUAGUUCAGACAUCAAUGAUCUUCCCAAAUAUCUUAGAACUUCACUUCCUCCACCUCCUCCAAUUGUUCUCCCUAACCCACAAGUUCAAGGUCACUCAAGCCCUAUUGUCAAGGCAAGGUCUAGGUGUGAUCACAUCUUGGAGAUGAAGUCACAUAUUGACAAGCCGGGAGAGUUGGGUGUCAAAGUCUUGAGAAAGUUGGUGGUUCAAUCACUUUCUAAGUCACAUAGUGAGUUCCUUUGGGACUCUUAUGAAACAGAUUAUGACAAGACCCUUAAUAAUCUUAUCUAUUUGCUUGGUACUGCUGAAUCAACAAUGAUUUGGAAGGCCAGUAAAGCAAAUUUGAUUAGAAGAUAGACUUCCAAAACUUUAUGGACAUUGACAAUGAUCACACUGGAAAUCCAGAAAAAGCAUUCUCAUCCCAAUGGAAAGGGAUCGGCCAUAGUCAACUCGGUUGACCAAAUGGUAAAGAGAAAAGCUAAGUCUGUGAUUGUCCCAUGUACCAUUACCAAAGGGUCCAUUUGUUAAAAUUGCCAAAGGAAGGGGCACUAUUUGCGAAGGUGCCAAAUUUACCUAAGGAUGUUAAAGUCAAUAAGUUUGACUCUACUUUAGGUAAAGUCCAUUGUCUAAAUCUGUUAACCUCCUAUUUGGAGAUUCUUAUUACAUAAUGUGACUGAGUCACAUGGUGAUGAUAUAAGAAUCAAAGAAAAAGAGAGAAAGCUUAAAGGAAGUAUAUGUUGCUUCUGAUCGCGAAGAUGGAUUUCGAUCGCAUCAGAAUUUUGAAGCUUUUGCUUAAGAGUUAUGAUAAAUUGCUUAGGAAUAGAUAACAACAAGUUUUCAUAUACGUUUGCAUUGUAAGGAUUAGUUUUUCCGCAAAGUUUUAAAAUAAAAGAGAAGUUUUUAAUUUUAUUUAUUUUAAGCAUCCUUACAAUGGCAUUUGUGAAAGAAAUUGUUGUUUAUAUGAUUCCAUUGAUGGCAAUAAUGGAAAAUGGUUUUGAUUCUUUCAUUUGUGGUAAUGUCUAAAUUUACCAAAUAAAGAAAAUUUCUCAUCACCCAAGUUUCAAUUGGACCGAAACUUGGAAUCAUGCAAGUUGUAUACUAUGAUAAAUGAGAACUUUCAAGCAUUGGAAAAUUAAGACUAAUUACUUGUUCACAUGGAUGUGUGAGUCAAGUAAAGGACUAAAUGAUCGAGUACACAUUCAUGUGCACUUGUCAAAGUCCAUAACAAAAGAUGGAUAAGACUAUUCGUCAUGAUUUACUAAAGUUUAGUAAAUAUGAUUAUACUUACAAGCUUAAGUAUAAUUCUGAUACAUUGAAAAAAUUUCGAUGUAUGGCAAAACGAAUAAGAAGAAUCAAAUUAGGCAGAAGGAUAAAAGUUUCUCAAAUCUGAAAAGAUGGGAGAGUAUUUUCAUGUUAUAUGAUCAUCUUAAUGAUUAAGAGACCUUAUCAUAAUUCCUCUAAGUGCAUUCUGAUAGCUAAGAAGAGGAGCCAUGAAUUGUUGAAGUGGUUAAAUCAAGAAGAUGAGUCAUACUACAUUCCAAAACAAUUCAUAGAGUCAUACUCCAAGAUUGUAACUUGAGUGACAUAUCUUAAAGAAAGGUUUAAAAACACGUGUCAAAUGUAAGUGUAAAAGUGUCCUACUCUUGUACAUUUGAAGUUGGUAAGUUGUGAUGUUCUGGAUAAAACAAAGACCAACAUAGGCCAAUUGUGUGAAGUGUUUGUCUUGAUAAAUAAUCCACACUAUCCCUUGAAUAUUUGACAAGAGAGUCUUAUAUGUCAAGAGGACAGUGGGAGUCUUAAAGGUCUUGAAAGUCUCAAGAACUAAUCAAGAAUAAAAACUGAGGUUCUUCACUAGCACACGACUUGGGGUUUAUAACCUAUCGUGUUGACAUAUUCUGUGCCCAUUCUAGUUAAAGAUGGCUCUGCAUAUGAGUUCUUAGAGUUCUCAAUUGGUUACAUAACAACUUGGAAGCAAUGGCAGGCCCUGUACUGCCAGGUGGCAAGAAGUUAAAAUUGCAUAAGUUCGGUCCAUAUGUGUUUGGACUUGUCAUUAUCUGUGUCUUGUGACUAAGGUUUUGACAAAUUCAUAUGGGUAGGAACACAUACACCAUAAAAAUCUAAGUGUCAUAAGGUUUCUCUCCGAUUCAUGAAAAUGAUGGUGAGGAAACGCUUUCACUAAGUAGAUUUUACGAAGAUAUCAAUUGUGUUAUUUGCAUUUUCAAAAGUCGUUAGUGGAGCGCGUGUGGUUAACCGGCACACUAACAUGGACUUGUGAGAAAUGGCAAAUGCCUAAGCAAUUGAGACCAUGAUUACGGUAUCCCUUUUCAUGGUUCUUGAAAUUGCUUAGACACACAGGUGAGCUAUCUACGGAAAGGGUGUAUGAAUCUAAAUUUCAGACUGUCCAGCUGAUUUCUGAGUACAUGUCAAAGCUAGUGGGAGCAUAAGUGUUAUGCUAAUAAUCAUCAUGUUAGUGGGAGCAUGAUAAUUAUGAUAAGUAUUGCAAGUUAGCAAUGUUAAUUAUAGAAAACAAAAGUUUCAAUUGGGAAAAAGUUGUUUUGCUAUAAUUAAGGGAGAGGAAAUUAUGCUUCAUCUCAAAUCUAUAAGCUUAGAUCGUGAGGUUUUAAUCAUUUAGUCAAGGAUAUAUAUGAAUUUCAUGUUGGAAUGGCUCAACAUAAGGAAAUUCUGUAUAUGGGUCCAUUAUUUGCGUUCUAAAAUUCGAUUAUGAUUACGGCAUCCCUUUUCAUAAUCUGAAUUAUGAGAACUUGGCAAAUUGAAAUGGAAAUAUUAUAGCAAAAGACUGGUUUAGUCUUUAUGUAAGACAUCAUGAAUCGUGUCCCAUAUGCUUCGGAUAUAGGAUCGAUUACAUGUGCUAUAUUCAUCCGUUCUAAAAUUUUCCAAAUGCCUGGGGCAUUAAGAAGGGAAAAGGUUUAGAACUGGAUAUGACUAAAAGGAUUAAACAAUUGUCGAGGACAAUCUAAGGUUUACCAAAGAUUGGUUACUCAAGGACAAUUGGAAGUAUAGUGAUAAUUCUGGAAGGACCAUAUUGACAUAAUCUGUAAGGAGGCAACUCUUGUUCAGAAGUGAUAGUCAAAAUGGAAUCUGGAAAUGUUUCAAAGUUAGAAUUUUCAAUCUGUGUAAGAUUAAGGAAACUUAAUGCAAGAAGGAUAUUUCCAAGGAGUUGAUCUCCUUUGGAAUACUCUGUAAUGAUUGUUGCCAAGUCUUUGUGACUUUGUGCAUAAUCAUUACAAGAGGAUCAAUGCAUAUAAGUUUAGAAUCUAACAGAUUUCAGUAAAUGGCAUGAAUUUGGAAUUCUUGCAUUUGCAGUAAGGAUUUGGGAGUGUGAAAAGAGAAUCAUUGAAGUUAUGUUCAAUUGAUCUAGUUCACAAAGUAAAGAUCAUAGACAAACAUAGUAUGCAUACUUGGUGUGUGGCAUGACUAGUGUUUAAGAAAACAUAGUGUACAUGCUUGGAGCAUGGGACAACUAUUGUUUUAAAUUCAAGAAUAAAGUUGAUAGCUGAAACAGUAUACAAUGAAUAAUGUGUAAUCAUAUGGUGAUAAAUAAAAGGUGUUUUAUUUAUGUUCAAAGGGUUGAUACCAUAUUGGAUUCAAUUAUUAUUGUGUUUCAUUUUGCAUGUUUUGACUUCCCGAAUAAACUGGGUUAUUCUUCCGGAAUGACUAAGUUAUUCAAACCAUCCACAGUCGGUCAUAUGUUGGAAGUAGAUAUGAAUUAAGACUGUCAUGGGUUGGCUUGUAGAGGUCUAAGGUGUUGGACAAAGGGCUACAACACUCAUGAGUGCUCAUAAGUUCUGAGUAUUGGAUUCAACCCGCGCUCAUUGGAAUCACUUCAUGGAUUUUAUCACGAGUGAUCAUGAGACGAUAAUAUCUUAUAUUCUUCAAACCUAGAGAUAUGAGUUGUUACUAUGAGUUGAUAGUACAUUGAUUGCACGAAAACGCAUUUGGUAACUCGGUGCUAUAAAACGUGCCUUUGUGUAUGAUUCAACAAGUAGUAGAACAAGCCAUAUGAGUCGAAGUUUAUCCAUUCCUUUUACCUUCGGGAUAAAAGCGAUAUCUGUGGGCCCCUCGAUGAUUUGAUGAUGACAAAUGGAAGUGCUCGGCCGGGCCAGGACUGAUUUGAUUUGUUCAAUUAGUCAGUCGUCAUAAAUCGGAAAUCGGGAAACAACAAAUGGACAGAGAGAAUGAUUAUAAUCCAUGUCUCAGUCCAUAUGAUAUCUAGAAUGGAGGAAUAUAUGAUCCCUUAUCUAAUGGACAAGUCAUUGACAAAGGUCAGAGUUCAUCUACAAGGUCAGAGUUCGACAGAAGCUUUUGAGAGCUACGAUUGCCAGUUGGUUCCUGAAGUCAUACGCAAUAAUAGUUUUAGACUUAUCCAAGUGGGAGACUGUUGGAUUAAUGUCUAAGUCCAUAACUAUAAUUGGUAAGACUUGACCCGACCCGGCAUGGUCCAUUUGGGUUGCAUACCAUCAUGCACUUGGAUAGACUAUAAUGAGAGAAAUAAGACACUUAUGGUUAUUAAUAUAUUAUAAGUUCUAGUAUAUUAAUAAUAAGAAUAAUAAGAUUAUUUAAUUAGUAUUGAUCAAGAAUUAAUCUAGGAUUAAUUAAGUGAUCAAAAGAAGACUAAUUAAAUAUAUGGGUUGAUUGUGUAAAUCAUCCAUACUUGUAUAGUGGGCUAAUGCUCCAUGGAUUAUCAAGUUGGGCUAAAACCCAUAUGAUGCUCCAUGGAUGCUCCAUGGUGUAUUUGAACCCAUGGGUCCAAGGAAAUGGAAAGCCAUGACAAUUAGGGUUUAACCUAAUUGUAACAACUAUAUAAGAUCAUAUUCUUUGGGAAAAUCGGCACUUAUGUGUGAGGAAGAGAGGGGCUAGUCAAUUUUCAAGUGCUCUACGUUUCUUUCAAGGUUAUUCCAAAAGCAAUUGAUGUUGUGUGAGCCAUUUGAGGUGUCACACUUGGGGCACUAGGCACUCAAGCUUCUUGAGAACAUUCUACAUCAAAGAGGUAUGUAUUCU
rnacentral:lncRNA from 1 species